rnacentral:hammerhead_ribozyme from 2 species
AGCCGAAACAGGGGAGAAGAUCCUCUGUCUACCAAGGAUGACCUCUUGGUACUGAAGAUGGCAGGUCAGA